AGAACGAACGCUGGCGGCAGGCUUAACACAUGCAAGUCGAACGCUCACCUUCGGGUGGGAGUGGCAGACGGGUGAGUAACGCGUGGGAACGUACCCUUUGGUUCGGAAUAACCCAGGGAAACUUGGGCUAAUACCGGAUAAGCAGGAAACUGGAAAGGUUUACCGCCGAAGGAUCGGCCCGCGUCGGAUUAGCUAGUUGGUGGGGUAAAAGCCUACCAAGGCGACGAUCCGUAGCUGGUCUGAGAGGAUGAUCAGCCACACUGGGACUGAGACACGGCCAGACUCCUACGGGAGGCAGCAGUGGGGAAUAUUGGACAAUGGGCGCAAGCCUGAUCCAGCCAUGCCGCGUGAGUGAAGAAGGCUUA
rnacentral:rRNA from 1 species